rnacentral:rRNA from 12 species
UUGACCUCGAAUCAGG